GGAAAAAAAGACUGCAGCUCAGGUCAAAAUACUUAUCACAAAGCACGAAUAGCAAAACACCGCUAUAACAAACGUUAUUGUGAACCUCGCGACGCAGAUUGACUAUUCUCGGCGACAGAGUCGCUAAACAGCAGUGCUAUAGCGCUUCUUUUGUUUCAAAUCGUCAAGCGAAUGAUAAAAACAACGCUUGUAAAGUUUAUUGACAACUUUUAUACAAGUUAACUGUGGUGAAAAAAGUUGUGUUAAUAAAACGCGUGCACGUACGCGCAAUCAUAAACAAUCCGCAGUUAUGUGCCUAGCGUGCUGCAUAUGUUUUCCAGUUAGUUGGUGUCAGUAGAUGUCAGUUGCUUAGUAGGUGUUAGACAGUGCAUAUGCGAGGAUGUCGGCGAAUGAGAACGAGCUUAAUACGAUGACGACGACGACCGCCACAACGGUCACGACGCUCGCCACAGCCACGACGGCCACGACGGCGACCGAGCCGAUAACGUUAACAUAAUAGCUGUUUUAGGAAGAGCAAGAGGAAGAAGAAGAGGAAGAGGGACAGGGAGAGGAAGAGGAAGAGGUGGAAGCGAAG